GAUGAACGCUGGCGGCGUGCUUAACACAUGCAAGUCGAACGAAGCACUUUAUUUGAUUUCCUUCGGGACUGAUUAUUUUGUGACUGAGUGGCGGACGGGUGAGUAACGCGUGGGUAACCUGCCUUGUACAGGGGGAUAACAGUUGGAAACGGCUGCUAAUACCGCAUAAGCGCACAGCAUCGCAUGAUGCAGUGUGAAAAACUCCGGUGGUAUAAGAUGGACCCGCGUUGGAUUAGCUAGUUGGUGAGGUAACGGCCCACCAAGGCGACGAUCCAUAGCCGACCUGAGAGGGUGACCGGCCACAUUGGGACUGAGACACGGCCCAAACUCCUACGGGAGGCAGCAGUGGGGAAUAUUGCACAAUGGGCGAAAGCCUGAUGCAGCGAAGCCGCGUGAGCGAAGAAGUAUUUCGGUAUGUAAAGCUCUAUCAGCAGGGAAGAUAAUGACGGUACCUGGCUAAGAAGCACCGGCUAAAUACGUG
rnacentral:rRNA from 1 species